rnacentral:rRNA from 1 species
CACCGCCCAUCACACCAUGGGAGUCAGUUGCUCCAGAAACGGCCGAGCUAACCCGCAAGGGAGGCAGGUCUUUAAGGAGUGACUGGUGACUGGGGUG